rnacentral:tRNA from 1 species
GCAACAUAGCUCAAUGGUCAGAGCAUCACUCAUGAACGCUGAGGUUGUGGGUUUGAGUCCCACAGUACA